AACGAACGCUGGCGGCAGGCCUAACACAUGCAAGUCGAGCGAGAUCUUCGGGUCUAGCGGCGGACGGGGGAGUAACGCGUGGGAAUAUGCCUCUUGGUACGGAAUAGCCUCGGGAAACUGGGAGUAAUACCGUAUGUGCCCUUUGGGGGAAAGAUUUAUCGCCAAGAGAUUAGCCCGCGUUUGAUUAGGUAGUUGGUGGGGUAAUGGCCUACCAAGCCGACGAUCCAUAGCUGGUUUGAGAGGAUGAUCAGCCACACUGGGACUGAGACACGGCCCAGACUCCUACGGGAAGCAGCAGUGGGGAAUCUUAGACAAUGGGGGCAACCCUGAUCUAGCCAUGCCGCGUGAGUGAUGAAGGCCUUAGGGUUGUAAAGCUCUUUCAGCUGGGAAGAUAAUGACGGUACCAGCAGAAGAAGCCCCGGCUAACUCCGUG
rnacentral:rRNA from 1 species